CUUGUGGAGGCGGGGGGGAUGGAGAUUAUGGACAUGUGUGCAAAUGUUUAGCUCAGUCCUCAGUUCAUGAGUCCGAAUGUGUGUGUAUGCGUGUAGCCCAUCUUCUUCCGUCUCAGACCUCCGGUGUCUCAGUUCGUGAGGGUGGGAGUGCGAUAACACAGCAAGGUUGCUAUGGAGACGUCCUCGGUUGGCCCGGUCCAAAAGUCAACAGGUGUCCUUGGGAAAGUGUGUGUGUGUGUGUGUGUGUGUGUGUGUGUGUGUGUGUGUGUGUGUGUGUGUGUGUGUGUCGGGGGGGGGGGGGGGGGGGGGGGUCUGCGACUCAGAUCAACAGCCACACCAAGCAAACUGUUCAUCUUACGAUUGAGUUCGUCAUACCGAGCAUCGGCAGCCGUGAUCCGAUUGUUUGCAUAGACCAGCAGAGUUUGGAUGUCGUUUCUGUCUGUGGUCUUCCUGAUUUUCCAGAAGCUCAGGCCAGUGAACAAGCCAAUUAUCAGCAGGCCUGUCAUCAUAAAUCCGAAUAUAUAAACAUCUUCCACAUCCUCCACGGAUAGGGGUGCCAGGCACAUGAUCCCCUUCCACUUCCCCCAGGCGUCGAUCACGUAACCAGAGGCGAAACUCCCAUCCGGGCAGGUCCAGUGCCAAGCGAUCGCUCCAAGUCAGAAAGACGAGACGAAGACAAAGUGCAGCAAGCAGAAGACAUGAGGGAGUGGGGAGAACAGAGAUAGAAACGGAGCGAGGGAAAAUGCGACUGCCUCCUACGAGAGCUGAGAGCAUAUACAGAGGACAGAACAAUGUCAACAACAGAAAACCAACAUUAAACAACACAAAACCAACACAAGGACACACAAAUAUGUGUGUAUCUAAUAAUUAUUUUAUUAUAUUUAAUUGUUAUUGUCUAAUAAUUAUUAUUUUAUUAUAUUUAUUUAUUGUUGUUGUCUAGUAAUUGUUAUUUUAUUGUAUUUAAUUAUUAUUGUUGUCUAAUAAUUAUUCUUUUAUUAUAUUUAAUUAUUAUUAUUGUCUAAUAAUUAUUAUUUUUAUUAUAUUUAAUUAUUAUUGUUGUCUAAUUAUUAUUAUUUUAUUAU
ensembl:lncRNA